AGUAAACACAACGAGGAAGACGCUGGGAAAGGAGACGAAGAAGAGGUGUUAUUUUUAUUGUCCCCGGAACAACGGGACAUCCUAAAUUUUGAGCUCUGACAGCUAAUACGGGAAGCCAUCAAUGGACUGUGACAGCCUAUAUUUUGUACCUUCUAUAUUUAACCACAACGUCCAGAAGACCACACGGGGAACUGCAAGGAAGAGUGAACCAGAAAGAGUUGGGAAGGGAAAACUCACAUUGUUUGAGUUUUCUACAGUGUUGCAGAUAAAUGUGACCAGGUGCCACGAAAACAGAUGGAUGUCCUCAUCCUGCAAUACAACCAGCUAUUUAACAGCUGUGGAGCACUGAAACGAAAAAUGAAGACAACACUGGAAGAAAACAAACAACUGAAGGAGCAACUGGGGAGACCAAACUUUAGGUUUGAUUCUAUUAAGGAUGAAGACUCCAAAGUUCAGUUUUAUACAGGAGUGCUGUCAUUGCAAGUUUUCCUUUGGCUGUUAAAUAAAUGGCUGUUUUUUUAAGGGAUGAGCUGAGUUGGGAAGACCAUCUGCUUUUGGUUCUCAUGAAGGUCAAACAUGGAUUCACAAACAGAUACAUUGCUGGGAAAUUUGGACUAUCUAUCUUCACUGCUUCAAAGAUCAUCAGGGAGUGGAUACCUCUAUUGUCUUCUAUACUGCGACCCUUUAUAAUCUGGCCAAGCAGGGAAACAGCAAGAGCUUAUCGAGCACGAGCUGAAACGUGGUCAGGUCAGAAAAAUCAACACAUUAUCAAGUAGCUUAUCUAAUUGGAAUAACACCAGCAGGGACUGUUUGUUUCUCAUCGGAUGGAUUUGGUGGCAGGGCCUCUGACAAGAUAAUGGCAUCAGAGUCUGGCUUUUUAGGGAAGCUUAAAGAUGGCUAUGUGGUUCUCGCUAACAGGAGGUUUCUUGUCAGGAGGAAUUGGCGAGUGUUGGAGCGUCGUUAAAAAUUCCACGUUUGACAAAAGAAAAGUCACACUGGUACGGCUCCUGUUCCUGUUGGCUGUCAAGAGUCCACAUCCGCAUGGAGCAAGUGAUUAUUCUCUUUAAAACCUUUCAGAUACUCAACACUGUGAUACCCAUCAGCCAGGUAGAUCUCCUGGAUGACAUUGUGACGCUGUGUGCGGGUCUCACCAACAUUAAGACCGGUAUUCCAGUGAUUGUUAAAGAGGAGAUGGAGGCCAUGUGACAAAGACUAACAGGAAGACACGAUGAGAAGAAUUUAUCAUGUUUCUCUGUGUGCAGAGUUGUAUGUUUGGGUGCAUUGUCUUGAUAACUGUAUGUUGAAAUGAUGCCAGAGAAUAUUUUUGUUAGUUUACUUUAAGUUGUUAACACCAGGUGUUAUUGGAAGUUUAAAAGGUGGUUAUUACUAAUCAGGUGUAAUUUGUGUAACUUGUGGCCAUCACAGUAACACACAUUAAAGAUAGCAUGAACCUCUGCUUCCAGUCAACUGUUCUCUGGGGAAUCUAAAAUUGUGUGUCUACAGCAGUUAGGGAGCCUUAUCAUUUGCCAAAGUGAGACCUUUUGCAUUACAGGCAUUUAACUAAGGAGAUGGCCCAUGACUAAACAUAUGACUAUAGCUGAAAAUCACUAGUUCAGAUGAAACAGUGAACACUCAGUUUAAGACUUGGAUUUUUAGUAAUUGUAAUAAAAAACUUGUAAAGUUUAGUGUAGGCUUUAGCUGAUGGGUAUUUUGUUUAAGGUUUCUAACAAACACAUAAAUACCAUUAAGAAAACACAGAAGACAUUAGAUUAACCACUACAUUCUUUAUUUGAUGUUCAAGUGCAACAACCAGCACUAACACAAAGAUCCACAUUUUAGUUGCUGGCCAUCACCUGGGAAAAAAAAAAGGAAAGCGUGAAGUGUUUUAAAAUGCUCCACUAGAGGACACUAGAACAUCUGUGCUUCUUUAUCACAUUUCCACUAUACAGUUCUGAGUUACUGAAUAGUUCAAAUUCAAAUGGAGAUGACUGUUACAGUGGUGUUUACUGUAGCUACUGUGUUAUAAGUUAAUUUUAUUUUAUCUUAUAUUUAUUUAUUUUAUUUUAUUUUUAGGGUUAGGGUUUUUAAUUUUUGUUAAAUGUAUGUUUAAUGUAUGUAAUGUAUGUUUUGUAUUUUGUAUGCUACUGGAUACUUGAAUUUCCCUCGGGAUAAAUAAAGUAUCUAUCUAUCUAUUUCAUAA